rnacentral:rRNA from 1 species
UACGUAGGGGGGCAAGCGUUGUCCGGAAUUAUUGGGCGUAAAGCGCGCGCAGGCGGUCAUUUAAGUCUUAUGUUUUAAACCCGGGGCUCAACCUCGGGUCGCAUGGGAAACUGGGUGGCUUGAGUGUAGGAGAGGAAAGUGGAAUUCCACGUGUAGCGGUGAAAUGCGUAGAUAUCGGGAGGAACACCAGUGGCGAAGGCGGCUAUCUGGGCUGGAACUGACGCUGAGGCGCGAAGGCUAGGGGAGCAAACAGGGAUUAGAA